rnacentral:tRNA from 1 species
GCCCUGGUGGCACAACGGUUAAGCACUCAGCUGCUAACUGAAAGGUUGGAGGUUCGAGUCCACCCAGAGGUG